ACGAACGCUGGCGGCGUGCCUAAUACAUGCAAGUCGAACGGUCUUUCUAUGGAAGCUUGCUUCCACUGAGAAGAUAGUGGCGAACGGGUGAGUAACACGUGGGUAACCUGCCCAUAAGAGGGGGAUAACAUCCGGAAACGGGUGCUAAUACCGCAUAGUUUUCUUGAUCGCAUGAUCGGGAAAGGAAAGACGGCCUUUGUGCUGUCGCUUAUGGAUGGACCCGCGGCGUAUUAGUUAGUUGGUGAGGUAACGGCUCACCAAGACGAUGAUACGUAGCCGACCUGAGAGGGUGAUCGGCCACAUUGGGACUGAGACACGGCCCAAACUCCUACGGGAGGCAGCAGUAGGGAAUCUUCCGCAAUGGACGAAAGUCUGGCGGAGCAACGCCGCGUGAGUGAAGAAGGUUUUUCGGAUCGUAAAACUCUGUUGUCAGAGAAGAACAAGUUGGAGAGUAACUGCUCCAGCCUUGACGGUAUCUGACCAGAAAGCCACGGCUAACUACGUGCCAGCAGCCGC
rnacentral:rRNA from 1 species